GCGGUGGCCACGUCGAUUAAAAGCGGUCAGAGGCAGUACUAAUCUAAUGCCAAUGCAAUCCAUCGAAGGUUAAGGGCUAGCAUUUCUCGUACUGAGAUACUAACUCACACAUUCAAAGGUAUGAAAACUGGAAAGUUGUUAUUUGUUCAAUGUAUGAAAAAUUUCGCUUAUUCUUAGAAGUAAGCAUAUGCAAAUAAUUGUCAUUUUGUUCAAAACUGUUGUUGGACUCACAAGAGCAGUCACAAAAAAAGAGAUAUAUUAUAGUGGUGGUGCUCUAGAGCAGUUUGUUCUAUUUUAUAUGUGAACGUAGGGUCCGCAUACUACUUACUAAUAUCUAACAACGGACUUGCUGAGAAAAUAGGAAUGCCCGCGUGGUGACGAUAAGUAUGUGGAAAAGAAGUAAGAAAUGAGGACGAUGACACUUACUGUCAUGCAGGAAGAAAGAAGGAAGAAGUCGACUCUCAUCGACCAUUGGUCUGAAAUGAAGUUCGGUGCAUGUCACUCUUGAUUUAUUGUUUUGAGAAAUAUAAAAGGCAUGUAUCUUUUCUAUAGUUUUCUGCCCAUAUUAUGUUGAAUGGUGGUGCAUAUGAUGUUGAAUUAUGAGAAGUGAAAAUUUUGAUGUUUC